rnacentral:rRNA from 1 species
UGGGGAAUCUUGCGCAAUGGACGAAAGUCUGACGCAGCAACGCCGCGUGGGGGAUGAAGCUUCUCGGAGUGUAAACCCCUUUCGACCCGGACGAAUGCCCGCAAGGGUUUGACGGUACGGGUAUAAGAAGCCCCGGCUAACUACGUGCCAGCAGCCGCGGUAAAACGUAGGGGGCCAGCGUUGCUCGGAAUUACUGGGCGUAAAGGGUCCGUAGGCGGUGUGGCAAGUCGGAAGUGAAAUCUCUGGGCUUAACCCAGAGGCUGCUCCCGAAACUGCCGUGCUAGAGGAUGAGAGAGGCAAGUGGAAUUGCGGGUGUAGCGGUGAAAUGCGUAGAUAUCCGCAGGAACAUCCGAGGCGAAAGCGGCUUGCUGGAUCAUUUCUGACGCUGAGGGACGAAAGCUAGGGGAGCAAACAGGAUUAGAUACCCCCGUAGUCC